rnacentral:misc_RNA from 1 species
GUGACCUUUUUAUUCGGUAUGUUGGAUUUGCCAUUGCUUAUUUCAUUCAUAAUUUUAAUUUCGCGGUUGGUACCGGGACUAACGAUUUUACCAUAUUUGAGUUGGCGAGGAGGGCCACUCCUAUGGUGCAGACAGUGUCAAAUCAAUUCACGGGUUCAGUGUGUAUAUCCCGUGACUGUCAAAAUGGAAGUGAUUUUUUGCCAAUUCCAUCAGUUGUACUACACGACUGGCCGUAACGCCCACGACACAUUGUCGGGCGACAAAGGCAGCACCAAAUCUGAGGUUACGCGAGCUUUGCUCUUUCGGUUGUAAACGCACCUUUUGAGGCGUGCCGCAAUUUCUGGUGUCGUCCAUUGGUUGUACCUUUGCCUUCGUGGCUGUGCAUCAUUGGCGCACUCGUACAGGGGUUCAGGGGUGAUAUUCCUUGAUAAUUCUGUUUUGGGUCUUGCGCUCAUCGUGAAGAGGGCGGGUUUUCACUCGUCAUCGGAGCGUUGUGCGUUUUGGCCUUUACCAUGUAUAAAGUGAUCGGCUUGUCCUGUAAGCUGGACAUGCGAAAGCGUGUGCUGGCGGUGAUUAUUCGAUAAACCCGAAAUUUGAUUGCACGUGUGCAUUUGAUCCACGCUGUAGAGGGCCAGUGUGGUUGCACGAAAAAGCUAGCUAUUCAUGCGCAUUACGGGGCGGAAUGCGGUCUUGAGGCAGCUUUCAAACGUGUAUAUGUAUGCUCACAAAUGUGUUGCAAACGAGUGAACA